ACUCGCUCUUUUAUUUUAUUUUUUUGCUCUCCUUCUCCUUCUCCUUCCUCGCCACCGCCGCCGCCGCCGCCUGCUGAUCUUUCUAGGGUUAGGGUUUGUGGCCGGAGCGUAGAAGGGGAGAUCCGAUUGGGUUGGUGGAAUCGAAGAUGGACGCGCAGCGUGCUCUGCUUGACGCGCUGAUGGGGUCGUCGCGGGACCUGACGGAGGAGGAGAAGAAGGGGCACCGGGAGGUGUCGUGGGACGACCCCGACGUCUGCGCUCCCUACAUGGCCAGAUUCUGCCCCCACGACCUCUUCAUCAACACCAAGAGCAACCUCGGAGUGUGCCCAAAGAUCCACGACCCUGCGCUCAAGCAAAGCUUCGAGACCUCCCCCCGCUACGCCGCCGCCCUCCCCAAAUUCGAGGCCGAGCUAGCCCACCGCUGCGAGAGGCUGGUGCAGGACCUGGAUAAGAAGAUCAGGCGCGGCCGCGACAGGCUGGCGCAGGACGUCGUGGAGAUGCCGCCUCCCGCCGCCCACGCCGAAAAGGUCGAGCAGCUCGCCAUUCUCGAAGACAAGAUCAAGAAGAUGCUCGAGCAGAUCGAAGAGCUCGGCGACACCGGCAAGAUUGAUGAGGCCACCGCGCUCAUGAGGAAGGUGGACAUUCUCAACCUAGAGAAGUCGGCUCUCACCCACCAGAUCGAGACCAAGCUCUCCAUGGUCCCGCAGGAGAAGAAGAUGGAGCUCUGCGAGCAGUGCGGCUCCUUUCUCGUCACCAACGACGUCCUUGAGAGGACGCAGUCCCAUGUUACCGGCAAACAGCACAUUGGUUACGGCCUGGUCAGGGAAUUCCUCACCGAAUACAAGGCUGCGAAAGAAGCGGACAAGCUUGCAAAGGAAAAGGAAGUAGAGGAGCGUCAGAACCGGGAGAGAGGAUACCAUAACAGAGGCCACCGCGACGACUAUAGGGAGAGAUCCAGGGAGCACGACCGUGACCGCUACUACGAGCGGAGCCGUGACAGAGAGAGGCCCUAUGAGCAGGGAGGUAGAGGGUCUGACUAUAGAGGAGGUUCCUAUAACAGCCGGAGGGAUUCUGAAAGGGCGAGGCCCAGAGAUAGGAACGGUGGUGAUUUUUCAAGAAGAGGAGACCCCGGGAGGAUGAGGAGCAGGUCCCGGUCUCCGGGCAGGCAUGGUUAUUAAUCAUUUCAAGUUAUGAGACUCGUGAGGUAGACCAUUAUGCUCCUUUUGCUUAUUCAUUCUGUCGCCAUGUCCGAGUGUUGUCAUGAUUAAAUUUAAACCUUACUCUGCUCUAGCAGCUUUCUGUUGAAACCAUAUCUAUGGUCUUCCUUUUAUUAUAGAGAGGAUAAAAACAGAGGAAGAGCUGAAAGCCGUAUGUAUCAUCCUAGGCAGGUAACCCGUAACCUCUGUCUUACAUGUUAAAAUGACUGAUGACAUACAAGGUUUGGUUAUGACCUGGAAGAAACAGUAGACAGGCAACCCUCUAUCUUGCAUGUUAAAAUGAUUGAUGAUAUAAGGUUGGGUCAGACCUGGAAGAAACAGUAGGCAGGUAAUCCAUAACCUCUGUCUUGCAUGUUAAAUUGAUGACAUAAUAUACAAGGUUGGGGCGGACCUGGAAGAUAAAGGUAACCGUUAUGGAUAUAUAAUAAGAUUUUGUGUGUACUGCGCCACGCAUUUCUUCUUGACAGAUUUUGAAAAAUGAUAUUGACUAGUAUCUGCAGUAGGUUUAUCGUAUAAUCGUUAAACAAGAGGAUUGUUAGGUGUGAUAUGAUGGAACUUCUAUCAUACAAGGUUUGGUUAGGACCUCGAAGAGACAGUAGGCAGGUGACCCGUAACAUCGGUCUUGCAUCUCUUAAAUUGAUGAUAAAUACAAUAAGGUUUUGUUAGGACCUCGAAGAAACAGUAGGCAGGUGAACCGUAACCUAGGUCUUGCAUCUCUUAAAUUGAUGAUAAAUACAACAAGGUUUGGUUAGGACCUCGAAGAAACAGUAGGCAGGUGACCCGUAACCUCGGUCUUGCAUCUCUUAAAUUGAUGAUAAAUACAACAAGGUUUUGUUAGGACAUGGAAAAUUCAGCUAAUAUUACAGGCCAUCGGUUCCUGAAUGCCCAGCUUGUACAACAUUUAAUUUGCACUGCCAGUAGAGAUUUUGCGUGUGCUGCGCCAGACGUUAUGUAUCUUGAUGGAUUUUAAGAAAGAGAUGACAGUGGCUAGUAUCCGCAGUAGGUGUAUCUUUCAGUCUAGGAACUGAAAGAUUGUCUUCUGAUAUACUUCCUCUGUCCCAAAAUUCUUGUCUUAAAUUUGUCUAGAAAUGGAUGUAUUUGGGAUGGAGGGAGUAGCUUAAGAAGUCUUUAGAUGAUACUACUAUCAUCCUAGGCAGGUAACCUGUAACCUCUGUCUGUCUUACAUGUUUAUUAAUCGAGCUGAAGAAAUCUUAAGAUGAGUGCGUGGAAGAAUUAGGUGCAGGUGAUAUUUUUGGCAGAAGAACAAGAGGAUUGGAUGGGAGGAUCGUCCACUUGGGAGUUGUUGACAUCAGAAGAAUUCAAGCGCUGUUGGACGGUGCAUGUCAGAGAUCAAGGCUAGAUUUGAAGUAGAGUCGCCUUUUGCUCGUCGAACAUGUAAAAUCUUCCGGUCGUUUGAGCUUUUGAGCGGGCAUGAAGUGUUUUGGUUUGAAAGUUGUGUUCAAGUUGUAUUUUCUCACAAACGCAAACAUAUUUGUGUUGUUUAUAAGCAUGUACCAAGUGAAAGUAAAAUGAGCUUGAAAGGCGAUUUAUUUGC